GACGAACGCUGGCGGCGUGCUUAACACAUGCAAGUCGAACGGAAAGGCCCUGCUUUUGUGGGGUGCUCGAGUGGCGAACGGGUGAGUAACACGUGAGUAACCUGCCCUUGACUUUGGGAUAACUUCAGGAAACUGGGGCUAAUACCGGAUAGGAGCUCCUGCUGCAUGGUGGGGGUUGGAAAGUUUCGGCGGUUGGUGAUGGACUCGCGGCUUAUCAGCUUGUUGGUGGGGUAGUGGCUUACCAAGGCUUUGACGGGUAGCCGGCCUGAGAGGGUGACCGGCCACAUUGGGACUGAGACACGGCCCAGACGCCGACGGGAGGCAGCAGUGGGGAAUAGUGCACAAUGGGCGGAAGCCUGAUGCAGCAACGCCGCGUGCGGGAUGACGGCCUUCGGGUUGUAAACCGCUUGCGCCUGGGACGAAGCGUGAGUGACGGUAAUGGGUAAAGAAGCACCGGCUAACUACGUG
rnacentral:rRNA from 1 species